AAGUCGUAACAAGGUUUCCGUAGGUGAACCUGCGGAAGGAUCAUUAAAAAACUAUUAUCUGUGCUUCUGGGCGACAGAAGCGUGGGACAUUUGCGCUGGGGCGGUUGCCUCGGUCCACAUAGAGCUGUUUGUCAUGUUGAUGGAUGUAUCAAUACAACACAACUUUUAACAAUGGAUCUCUUGGCUCUU
rnacentral:misc_RNA from 1 species